UGAUCCUCUCUCUCUUCACUCUCGCUAACUCUCGUAUCUCUCAUACUCUCUACAUUAGCCCUCACAUAAACAAUUUAAACAACAACAAAAAAGCAACCAGGUGAAUCAUUCACGGUGGUUGUGAUGAACACCACGAUGGUGUUCAUCCACCACAACCCAGAAUUUCGAAAACCCAACCAAAAUAAAAAAGACUUCAAUACAGACCCUAGGUGAAGUUUAUCCCUAAACAUGAUUCUAACAUCUAUUUGGUCAAACAAAUAAACAAAUCCCCAGAUCUAACCAGUUCCCAAUCUGAAAGCCUAAGAAUGGAAACUCCAAAUCAAUUAUGAAAACCAUACAAAUCAUGUAAUUAAGCGCAUAAUAAGUAGAAAGCAAUAACAAAUGUGAGGAACACGCAAAAAUAAGGGAGAUAAAGGCCUUGCCGGAGCUUUGAAAAUCCGGUGAGGUUUCCGGCUAACCUCAACGUACGAUACUCUGAGUUCUUUCUCCUUGUCUGCUUACUCUUUAAAUUCCUCUUUUACUCCUUUUGUCUAUUCCUCCUAUAUGUGUUGUAUAAGUGUCUCCGGUGAAGGUGAGAGCAGUUAAAUGAGGCUUGUGAGCUCAACUCGUUUCAAACAUCAGUUAGAAGUUUAGGGAGUUUUGGAUGAAGAGUUUUAGUAAGGGCGUUAGUAUGGAAUUGGGCAGAGAUUUGGCAUUUUUUCAUGUGUUUUUGAGUGAUCAAUAGGCUCCUUUUUAAAGGUGAAAUAAGGAGUGGAUUACAAGAAAAGAGGGGAGAAAGUGGUGAGCAAUGUGAUUUUUUGGGGGAGAAUUCCUUAGGAAUUUGUGUGAACAGAUUAGAGGGAAAACUGAGAUUCAUUUGAGAUGAAAAGUUUGUUGAGUUUUUGUGUUAGUUUGAUGCAUGUUGAUAAACUUUGAUGGUAUGGAGUAUGUUGAGAUGGUUCACGCGUAUCUUCUUGUGUAAUUUGUUAAUUUGAUUUUCUUUACUUGUUUUAAUUCAAUUAAAGUUGAUGUAGAUGUAUGUCACAUGUUAAUGAUGGAUGAUAUCAUUAGUUUCAUGUUGAAUGAUAUGGUGCGUUGGUACGAUGUUGGCUGCACAUGUUUGCUGCUCUUUUUGUUCUCUUUUUUUCAAAUUUGACUUAAUGAUGAUAUAAGGUUAGUGACAUUUGUUAUGCUGAUAUGUGUGUGUAUGUUGAGUGGUGUUGGCUUGGUAGGUUGCUAUGGGCUGAUGUUAUGGUAUGUCAAUGUUGAAAACUCACAUGUCCUUGUUCUCAUUUGGUCGCUCAGUCUUGCAUGGGAUAUGUGUUAAGUGAUGAUGGUGAUGAUGAAUGGCGUGAAGAUGAUGAAGAGGAAGCCUUGUGUGGUGUGAUGCGCAAAGGUGAUGUUGAUGAGUUAUAUGAGUAAAAAUGUGGGACCACAACCAAUUGGGCUUAGCUUUUUGGUAUUUCAGUUUUUUACUUUUUGUAUUCUAAAAGGUAGGAGAAAGGUAGGUUUUAGAGAAAUCAUCAGACAUACCUAGAAAAUAGGCAAAAAUGAGAGAAAGAGAAAAAGCUAGGAAUUUGAAGAGGGAACUCAUAGAAGAUGUCCAAUUCAACAUCAAUUUAUGGAGAUCUAAGGUAAGGGGGAGAAUAACUUUAAAUAAGAGAUUAUGCCUUAGGGGUAGGGUAGAGGAGUCCUUAACUUCCAAUAAGGAAGAUAAUUUUGAUGAUUUCUAUGUGUGUUCUUGAGGAAUAAUAUCCUCCUGAUUAUAUUGGUAUGAAUUCGUAUGAAUUGAUGUCUAAAAUUCUGCAAUGUAUGUAUGUCUGUUUUCCACCAUUGUUGAAAUGUUGAAUGUUUUAGUGAUGUGAAUUGAUGAAUUGGUGAUUGAAUUGAUAUGUUAA
rnacentral:lncRNA from 1 species